rnacentral:rRNA from 1 species
UUAAUUGAAGAGUUUGAUCAUGGCUCAGAUUGAACGCUGGCGGCAGGCCUAACACAUGCAAGUCGAACGGUAGCACAGGGAGCUUGCUCUCGGGUGACGAGUGGCGGACGGGUGAGUAAUGUCUGGGAA